rnacentral:rRNA from 1 species
GACGAACGCUGGCGGCGUGCUUAACACAUGCAAGUCGAACGAAGUGGCGAACGGGUGAGUAACGCGUAAGCAACCUGCACUUCAGAGGGGGAUAACAGUUGGAAACGACUGCUAAUACCGCAUACUGAAGGAGGGGAUUGCGUCUGAUUAGCUAGUUGGAGGGGUAACGGCCCACCAAGGCGAUGAUCAGUAGCCGGGCUGAGAAGAUGAACGGCCAAAUUGGGACUUGGCAGCGGCCCAGUCUCCUACGGGAGGCAGCAGUGGGGAAUCUUCCGCACUGGACGAAAGUCUGACGGAGCCACGCCGCGUGAGUGGUGACGGCCUUCGGGUUGUAAAGCUCUGUUAAUCGGGACGCGGUACCGGAAUAGAAAGCCACGGCUAACUACGUGCCAGCAGCCGCGGUAAUAC